rnacentral:rRNA from 1 species
AUACGGAGGAUGCAAGCGUUAUCCGGAUUUAUUGGGUUUAAAGGGUGCGUAGGCUGUUCGACAAGUCAGGGGUGAAAGCCCAGUGCCUAACACUGGAACUGCCUUUGAUACUGCCGAGCUGGAAUACGGAUGCCGUGGGAGGAAUGAGUAGUGUAGCGGUGAAAUGCAUAGAUAUUACUCAGAGCACCGAUUGCGAAGGCAUCUCACGAAUCCGUCAUUGACGCUGAGGCACGAAAGCGUGGGGAUCAAACAGGAUUAGAUACCCUGGUAGUCCACGCAGUAAACGAUGAAUACUAGGUGUAGGGGGUAUCGACUCCCUCUGUGCCGCAGUUAACACAAUAAGUAUUCCGCCUGGGGAGUACGGCCGCAAGGUUGAAACUCAAAUGAAUUGACGGGG